ensembl:lncRNA
CUGCUACUGAAGAAGGAUCUCUCUCUGGAGAUUGCUCUUUGUGGAGUUUCUUGUGAGCCUACAGUAUUGAUGAGAAUCAAUUUUAUUAACACCAGCUGCCACUUAAACUGUCUGAAGACAUCUAAGAAAAGAGCAAUGCAUUUGCUGAUGUGAUGCAGAACUUAAAGAAGACCAAUGUUCACAUGAAUAAACACCUGGAGCUUCCAUAAGCUGCCCAGAGAGAAUAAAUCAUCACUCUUGUGCCUUUUUGGAUAAAGAGAGAGAUGUUCAGAUGCAAACAAAGGCUCUCAAGUGGAUCAUUGUAAAUGAGUAUGGACUUUAAAAGAAGAGAUGCAUGUGGGUGUAAUUGUUUCUCAGAAGCUGAGAGCGUGCUGUAUCUUCAGUUUUAAUGAAGAUUAGGUGUGACAAAGCUAUAUGGAGUAAUGGAAGUACCAGGAAGAAAUUGCUUUUUGAAAAUGAAAAGCUUUUUAAAAAGUCACAAUAGGACUGAGAGAGCCGUGAGUGCAUUUUCUACCCUAACAUUUUGGCAUUACUCUAUGGAGCCUUCUGCUAUCAGCAAGGAAAGAAAAAUUGCAGUUGACAUCUACAACAUGCAUUUGUCUCCAUUAAUGCUUAGUGCAGGGACUGUGUUCACUUGGCUUCAUCUCUACCUGUCAGAUACUUUGCUUUCUAGGAGGAAAGAGAACAGGGAGAAACCAAGCAGAUUUCCUAAUGUGAAUCAGUUUUCUUAUGGAAGCUGUAGCCAAGGGUCGAAUCUGCAUCCCUGGGGAAGAAACCACAACAUUAUGGCCUUGUUCGUCACAUCUUGUUCAAGUCUGCUCUUCUAUCCACUCAUCUGUCUCCUGCACAAAAUUCUUCUGCCUGGCUUUUUAUUUCAGGAGCUAGGGAACAAUUUUCAAAUUUGGUGAAUCUUUCAAGGGUUAAAGAGAACAUGGAAAGCCUGUGGCAUGGAUGUGCUUUGAAAUGGAGAACGUAUCCCCACGUUACUGGUGCAGAAAGUAAAACAUGGCUGAAAGCCACAGAGUAAUUCUAUUAGUUACCAGAAAAAAAUGCUCCUUGGAGGAGACAUAAUGAACCCGUAAAGCUGAAAGGUGGCCCCUUAUAAGUGUUGUUUCACACUCACAGGAACAGUCCUGUGGACUGCUGGCAGUGAGCCUCUUGUCAACACAGUAGGGUGGAGACUCUGCAUUUCCUUCUAACUCAGAGCUGCUUCAUCACAUCCUUAGGGACUAUCCAUGGCUUGAUCGUGCUCAGGAGCUUUGUUCUGUAAUCUGGUCUUUUUUCUUUCACUGAAAUAGGUGUAACUCAAUGCAAAGCUAGGGCAUUACCCCAGCUAGCUUUUAAACACAUUCAUGUGAGAGGUUAUUCAUAUAAUUCUCUUGGCAUGUUAAGUGCACAGACUGUAUGUCUGUUUACUGUAGUUCCCAGGAGCACUUCUCAGCUUCUCUGUUUGGAUACACACUACUACAGAAACCCACCUCAGUAGUGUUGGGGCAAUCAUCCCCACCAUUUGACAGAAACCUGGGCCCAGUCCUUCAAAGGGCGUGAUCUGGUCCCCAUCUGUGGCUGAAAUUGUCCAAUGAAAGGUGAUAGUUUACUUUUUCAGCAGGGUCAGUAACAAUAUCUUUAAAAUAAAAGACAGAAUGAAGUAAAAGAAAUAAGACUCAAGUCUGUCCCAACACUGUUACUAAGUAGGAAGGCAAAAGAGUUGUUAUAGCAACAGAUGGAGGUAUUUUAUAACAAGUGCAAGCACCUGAACCUUGGAGAGCUAAUGUAACUGUUAACUGUGAGAAGGACUAAACGGUACCUUUCAGGCUUUUGUCUGCCUGAUGUGCUUACAUUUCAAGCUGACCAAAGCCCAGUGCUGUAUUACUAUAGUUGUGGUCCCAGCUUUGUUGAGGAGCCAGGCGUCUAUCAGCCCAGCCCAGGACUGCUUUAAUCAGGCCACAUGGUUCUUGGAGUUUUUCACACAUUUGGAUCACACGUGG